rnacentral:rRNA from 1 species
CCUACGGGUGGCAGCAGUGGGGAAUAUUGCACAAUGGGGGAAACCCUGAUGCAGCGACGCCGCGUGAGUGAAGAAGUAUCUCGGUACGUAAAGCUCUAUCAGCAGGGAAGAUAAUGACGGUACCUGACCAAGAAGCCCCGGCUAACUACGUGCCAGCAGCCGCGGUAAUACGUCGGGGGCAAGCGUUAUACGGAUUUACUGGGUGUAAAGGGAGCGUAGACGGCAGCACAAGUCUGGAGUGAAAUCCCGGGGCUUAAACCCGGAACUGCUUUGGAAACGGUGCGGCUGGAGUGCAGGAGGGGUAAGCGGAAUUCCUAGUGUAGCGGUGAAAGGCGUAGAUAUUAGGAGGAACCCCGAUUGCGAAGGCAGCAUGCCGGCUUCCGACUGACGCUGAAGCACGAAAGCGUGGGGAUCGAACAGGAUUAGAUACCCGUGUAGUC